AGUGAACGCUGGCGGUAGGCCUAACACAUGCCAGUCGAACGGCAGCACAGUAAGAGCUUGCUCUUACGGGUGGCGAGUGGCGGACGGGUGAGGAAUACAUCGGAAUCUACUUUUUCGUGGGGGAUAACGUAGGGAAACUUACGCUAAUACCGAAUACGACCUACGGGUGAAAGCAGGGGAUCUUCGGACCUUGCGCGAUUGAAUGAGCCGAUGUCGGAUUAGCUAGUUGGCGGGGUAAAGGCCCACCAAGGCGACGAUCCGUAGCUGGUCUGAGAGGACGAUCAGCCACACUGGAACUGAGACACGGUCCAGACUCCUACGGGAGGCAGCAGUGGGGAAUAUUGGACAAUGGGCGCAAGCCUGAUCCAGCAAUACCGCGUGGGUGAAGAAGGCCUUCGGGUUGUAAAGCCCUGUUGUUAGGAAAGAAAAGCAGCAGGUUAAUACCCCGCUGUUCUGACGGUACCCAAAGAAUAAGCACCGGCUAACUUCGUG
rnacentral:rRNA from 1 species